GCUGGAAGGCAGCAACCAUGAGGUGGUUGUGCCUGAUGGCACG
rnacentral:SRP_RNA from 1 species